rnacentral:tRNA from 1 species
AUUGGUGUUGCUCAGUGGUAGAGCAUGUCUUCAGAUGCCCAAGACUUUAGGUUCAAUCCCUAGCACUAAAU